AUGGCUGUCGUCAGCUCGUGUCGUGAGAUGUUGGGUUAAGUCCCGCAACGAGCGUAACCCUUGUCGCUAGUUACCAGCGGGUAAUGCCGGGGACUCUAGUGAGACCGCCUGCGCAAGCAGUGAGGAAGGUGGGGAUGACGUCAAGUCAUCAUGGUCCUUACGCCUAGGGCUGCACACGUGCUACAAUGGCCGGUACAACGAGCAGCCACCUCGCGAGAGGGAGCGAAUCUCUUAAAGCCGGUCCCAGUUCGGAUUGGAGUCUGCAACUCGACUCCAUGAAGCAGGAAUCGCUAGUAAUCGCGGAUCAGCAAUGCCGCGAUGAAUCCGUUCCCGGGCCUUGUACACACCGCCCGU
rnacentral:rRNA from 1 species